GACGAACGCUGGCGGCGUGCUUAACACAUGCAAGUCGAACGGAAAGGCCCUGCUUUUGUGGGGUGCCCGAGUGGCGAACGGGUGAGUAACACGUGAGUAACCUGCCCUUGACUUUGGGAUAACUUCAGGAAACUGGGGCUAAUACCGGAUAGGAGCUCCUGCUGCAUGGUGGGGGUUGGAAAGUUUCGGCGGUUGGGGAUGGACUCGCGGCUUAUCAGCUUGUUGGUGGGGUAGUGGCUUACCAAGGCUUUGACGGGUAGCCGGCCUGAGAGGGUGACCGGCCACAUUGGGACUGAGAUACGGCCCAGACUCCUACGGGAGGCAGCAGUGGGGAAUAUUGCACAAUGGGCGGAAGCCUGAUGCAGCAACGCCGCGUGCGGGAUGACGGCCUUCGGGUUGUAAACCGCUUUCGCCUGUGACGAAGCGUGAGUGACGGUAAUGGGUAAAGAAGCACCGGCUAACUACGU
rnacentral:rRNA from 1 species